GAUGAACGCUGACAGAAUGCUUAACACAUGCAAGUCUUUGGCGAAGCUGUGCUCGCACAGCCUAGCCAAGGCGGACGGGUGAGUAACGCGUCAGGAACUUGCCCUGCAGUCAGGGAUAACAGACGGAAACGACUGAUAAGACCUGGUAAAGUCAGGCGGACUCAUGUCCAGCCUGAUGAAAAGAGAUGCUGCAGGAGAGCCUUGCGUCCUAUUAGCUUGUUGGUGGGGUAACGGCCCACCAAGGCGAUGAUAGGUAGCCGGCCUGAGAGGGUGGACGGCCACAAGGGGACUGAGAUACGGCCCUUACUCCUACGGGAGGCAGCAGGGGGGAAUAGUGGACAAUGGGGGCAACCCUGAUCCAGCAAUUCUGUGUGCACGAUGAAGGUUUUCGGAGUGUAAAGUGCUUUCAGCAGGGAAGAAAAAAAUGACGGUACCUGCAGAAGAAGCGACGGCUAAAUACGUG
rnacentral:rRNA from 1 species